UUAUAAUAAUUAUUAUCUUUAUUAUAUCCAUUAUUAUUAAGUGUGAAAGUAAAACUUGGUUUAUUGAAUGAACUAAUAAAGUAAAAAAACUUGCAUUUUUCCGGAUCAAAAUUUUUGGCGAAAAAACAGCGAAAGGAUGCAUUUGUAAAAUGGCAUCUGCACUGAUGACCAAAAAUGUUGAAAAAAAUUACUCUGGUACUGGGAAAAGAAUAAAAGGCGUGGGAAAACUUAAUUUUAGCGCAACAGAAACAUUUAAGUAUAUGGAAGUAAAAGAGAAACUUGGUGACUGUGAAGAUUGCAAAAAUUUUGCCGGAAAAGUUGGCGGGUGGUUUUCAGGGCAAGGAGAUCGAGAACAGGGUCGAAAACAAAGAUCCUUAUCUUUAUAAUCUAUUUAAUAUAAUA